rnacentral:lncRNA from 1 species
GCUAGAAUAUUUUUAGAAACACCAACCCCUUGGUGCCUCUAAGUUUCUAUCCCUUGGAUCUACUCUUUGAUUACUAAUAGCCUUUGGAUCAAACACUAUUCCACCUACCACCACCUACCACCAUCAUCUCAACCUCACAUCUCUUCAUCCAAUGGCUAAAAACUCAAAAGCACUACUUUCAUGGUGCUUUUGAGAGUAUUCUAGCUCAACUCUCUAUAUAUAUAUAUAGAGUCCGGCUGCUAUGCUAUCAAUAGCACUAAUUAUUUGGUGCUAUUAAGUUUUCUGCCAUUAGAUUAACCCUUUUGAUUAUUUUUACCUGUUAGAUUAUACUAUUCAACCAACCACCCACUCAACCCUAGGGGGACCGCAUCAUCCUAACCGCACAUUUCUCAAUCCAAGGGUUAAAAAACUAAUAGCACCAAUAGCUUAGUGCUAUUGAUAGUAUUCCAGCCUAGUUCUAUGUAUAGAGUCCGGCUGCUAUGCUAUCGAUAGCACCAAGUACUUGGUGCUAUCAAGUUUUCUGCCGUUAGAUUAACCCCUUUGAUUAUUUUUACCGGUUAGAUUAUACUAUUCAACCAACCACCCACUCAACCCUAGGGGGCCCACAUAUAUAAAUUUGAUGUUAUAUUUGAAUUUGUAUUUUAAAAAUUUAGAUUUAAUAUAAUAUAUUUUGAAAUAUUGAAAAAAGAAAUAAUUGUUUCGGGUUCAAAUUUUCGGGUUUGGGUUUCAGAUUUUUGGUCGGGUUCGGGUUUGGAUAUGGAUUUUUAAAAUCUGUCGGGUUCGGGUUCGGGUUCAGGUCUCGGGUUCGAGUCUCGGGUUUGGAGUCGGGUUCGGGUUCGGGUUCAGGUCUCGGGUUCGAGUCUCGGGUUUGGAGUCAGGUUCGGGUUCGGAUUUUUGAAAAUCCGCCCAGAAUCUGACCUGUUGACAUCUCUAGGUGACAUUAUUGAAAUUUUUUAUGUAUAAAGGCAAUUGAGGCACAGCAUAAAUAUAAAGUGUAAGAGAUUUUUUAUUAUUAAGCUAAAAUAUUAAGAGCAAUAUUAUAAUCUUAGGGUGUGUUUGGUUCGAAAUCGGAAUCGAAAUCGGAAACGGGAUGGGAAUAAGCUGGAAUCGGAAUCGGAAUGGGAAUGACUCAUUACCUCAUUCUGUUUGGUUCGCCACUUGAAUCGGAAUCGAAAUGAAUCAUUUCCAUUGUCGGUGUUUGGUUCAUAUAGUUAUCAGAAACGGAAUUAAAUUAAUAUACCAAUUUUACCCUUAUAAUAUAUUUUAAUUACUUUUAACUAUUUUGAAAACNUAACGGAGCCGAUCGUCGAUUCGAAAACUCCAUCAUCGAAAACGGCUCAGGAGCACGGAGGCCCCCGUGCUCCUGAGAGCACAGCAGCCCUACUCUAUAUACAUAUAUAUAUAUACAUAUAUAUACAUAUAUAUAUACAUAUAUAUACAUAUAUAUAUGGUGUGUUUGGUUCGAAGUCAGAAUCGAAAUCGGAAACGAAAUGGGAAAAAGAUGGAAUCGGAAUCGCAAUGACUCAUUACCUCAUUCUGUUUGGUUCGCCACCUGAAUCGGAAUCGAAAUGAAUCAUUUUCAUUGUCGGUGUUUGGUUCAGAUAGUUAUUAGAAACGAAAUUAAUAUACCAAUUGUACCCUUAUAAUAUAUUUUAAUUACUUUUAACUAUUUUGAAAACUCUAUUUAAAAUAUAAAUAUGAGCAACUUACAAAAUCUUAUAAUUUUGUACCAACACCUUAUUAUUUAAGAAUUUUUUAUUUUAUCAAAAUCUAGAUUUUUUUUCCCUCUUGACAUUACAGCAUCAUAUGUUUUUUUUUUUUGAGAAAAAGGUAGCGUGCUACCCGCUUCAUUCAUAUAGUAAGUGAAUUAAGCAACAUGGAUGAGGCAACAUGGCCUCAAGGUUGACGGAGACAAAAAGGAAAAAAAAAACAGGAGAAACAUAU